AUAAUGUUUCGUACCAGUGAUUAAUAAGGCCUCAAUGGUGGGGGAGACUGAUGUAUUGGUUGCUAUGCUAGCAGCACUGAUGGGGUGAUGGCGUGUUAACGACAAUAUGUCAAUCAUAGUGAGAGCGAGGUAGUGGGUUCAUGGUGUGGAAACAACAAUGAUGUUGGUAAUAGUGGUGUUGAUAGCAAUUAUGGUGAUGUUGGGACCAACAAUGUCGUAGUGAUAGUGAUGCUGGUAUUCAAGAGUUUGAGUAAGAUAACAAGAUGAUACAUUAUCAUAUCUUGUUUGUUUUUAAGAUAGCUCUGAAAACAAGAUAUAAAAUACACCAAAUGAGGAAAAUCUACAGGAAGAAUAAAUUGGUCCCUAAAAAACAAAAUAAUUAUAUUUGAUGUUUGAAAAAUGAGAAGUCAUAAUUCAAAUGUUAAAAAUCUUAAAUGCCAACGAAUUUUUAUUAACCAAUUUAUAUAUUUUAACUUACAGUAAUGAGGAGAUAUUGAUUGUGUAGCUUAUCACAAU
rnacentral:lncRNA from 1 species